GACGUAGGGCGCGAGCGUUGUCCGGAUUUAUUGGGCGUAAAGAGCUCGUAGGCGGCUUGUCGCGUCGUCUGUGAAAUCCCGCGGCUCAACUGCGGGUCUGCGGGCGAUACGGGCAGACUGGAGUACUGCAGGGGAGACUGGAAUUCCUGGUGUAGCGGUGGAAUGCGCAGAUAUCAGGAGGAACACCGGUGGCGAAGGCGGGUCUCUGGGCAGUAACUGACGCUGAGGAGCGAAAGCGUGGGGAGCGAACAGG
rnacentral:rRNA from 1 species